rnacentral:rRNA from 1 species
UGGAUACACUUAGUGGCGGACGGGUGAGUAACGCGUGGGUACCUGCCUCACACUGGGGGAUAACAGUUAGAAAUAGCUGCUAAUACCGCAUAAGUCCGCAUGGAAAAAACUCCGGUGGUGUGAGAUGGACCCGCGUCUGAUUAGCCAGUUGGCGGGGUAACGGCCCACCAAAGCGACGAUCAGUAGCCGGCCUGAGAGGGUGAACGGCCACAUUGGGACUGAGACACGGCCCAAACUCCUACGGGAGGCAGCAGUGGGGAAUAUUGCACAAUGGGGGAAACCCUGAUGCAGCGACGCCGCGUGAGUGAAGAAGUAUUUCGGUAUGUAAAGCUCUAUCAGCAGGGAAGAAGUGACGGUACCUGAAUAAGAAGCCCCGGCUAACUACGUGCCAGCAGCCGCGGUAAUACGUAGGGGGCAAGCGUUAUCCGGAUUUACUGGGUGUAAAGGGAGCGUAGACGGCAAGGCAAGUCUGAAGUGAAAGCCCGGUGCUUAACGCCGGGACUGCUUUGGAAACUGUUUAGCUGGAGUGCCGGAGAGGUAAGCGGAAUUCCUAGUGUAGCGGUGAAAUGCGUAGAUAUUAGGAAGAACACCAGUGGCGAAGGCGGCUUACUGGACGGUAACUGACGUUGAG